rnacentral:rRNA from 1 species
UCCCAGCACCCCGAGUGGUCGGGACGAUUAUUGGGCCUAAAGCAUCCGUAGCCGGUUCUGCAAGUCCCCCGUUAAAUCCAGCUGCUCAACAGAUGGGCCGCGGAGGAUACUACAGAGCUAGGAGGCAGGAGAGGCAAGCGGUACUCAGUGGGUAGGGGUAAAAUCCGUUGAUCCAUUGAAGACCACCAGUGGCGAAGGCGGCUUGCCAGAAUGCGCUCGACGGUGAGGGAUGAAAGCUGGGGGAGCAAACCGG